rnacentral:rRNA from 1 species
UACGGAGGGGGCUAGCGUUGUUCGGAAUUACCGGGCGUAAAGCGCGCGCAGGCGGCCUUUUAAGUCUGACGGUGAAAUGCCGGGGCUCAACCCCGUGCCCGCCGGAGAUACUGGGAGGCUGGAGACGAGUAGAGGCAAGCGGAAUUCCGGGUGUAGCGGUGGAAUGCGUAGAGAUCCGGAAGAACACCGGAGGCGAAGGCGGCUUGCUGGGCUCGGUCUGACGCUGAGGCGCGAAAGCGUGGGGAGCGAACAGG